rnacentral:tRNA from 1 species
UUUUUUAGACCAGCUGUGGGAGGCUGGUCAUUUUUUUUAAGUAGAAAAAGUAUCUAAUUGGUAAUUUUAAUAGCAAUGUUCUAAGUAUUUAAAAAAUC